UGGGGAAUAUUGCACAAUGGGCGAAAGCCUGAUGCAGCAACGCCGCGUGAGCGAUGAAGGCCUUCGGGUCGUAAAGCUCUGUCCUAUGGGAAGAUAAUGACGGUACCAUAGGAGGAAGCCCCGGCUAACUACGUG
rnacentral:rRNA from 1 species